rnacentral:lncRNA from 1 species
CAAGUGGUGCAUCACGUGACGCUGAUGGCAAAUAAACAUUAACUGAUAUUUCUGUAAGAAUACAAUGGAGAGAGAAAAAAACAGCAUAGUGGCUACGACAAAUAAGGCAUAUCUAUGAUCAUUUGUGACUUUAACAUAAUCAUAAGGAGCCAUUUCUUAAAUAGUUUCCUUGAAAGCAACAACCUUGUAUUAACAUGAUUAGCGGAAAUAAUGAACGGAAACAAAAAUCCCGGAAUAGGUUAUCAACUUGGAGAUAUAUAAUUAAUAUGCAGGUGUAGCUUGGAUUUCGUGACAUUGAAAUGCAAAAUUCACAAUGAUAACUUUAAAAUUAACCGCCUGUUUGUGAAGCUGAGUUCUUAACCCGCUCUCAAUCUAUAUGGUAGGAAAGAUAUUGAAGCAGAUUACACUUAUGUAAGGUUUCAUAUGCGAUUAGCACAGUCACGAAACUCUUAAUCAUUCAGUUAGCGGAAAUAAACGCGAAAUUAAAGGAUACGCUAUCUUCUGUGCAUUCCUCUUGGGAAAUUCCUGUAUGAAGUCUGCAUAAUACGAUCAAUGGAACAAGUCUGCAACACGAGGAGCACAGUUGGUUUACAUGGGAAUGCCAAUGAAUUGUAAUAAAAC